UACGUAGGGUGCGAGCGUUGUCCGGAAUUAUUGGGCGUAAAGGGCGCGUAGGCGGCUUUGCAAGUGGCGGGUGAAAUCCCUCGGCUUAACCGAGGAACUGCCUGCCAGACUGGAAGGCUUGAGACCGGGAGAGGUGAGUGGAAUUCCCAGUGUAGCGGUGAAAUGCGUAGAUAUCAGGAGGAACACCGGUGGCGAAGGCGGUUCUCUGGGACGGUACUGACGCUGAGACGCGAAAGCGUGGGGAGCAAACAGG
rnacentral:rRNA from 1 species